rnacentral:rRNA from 1 species
AGCAGCCGCGGUAAUUCCAGCUCCAAUAGCGUAUAUUAAAGUUGUUGCAGUUAAAAAGCUCGUAGUUGAAUUUCGGGGUCAGCAGGUUGGUCGUGCCAAUGGUAUGCACUGGCCUUGCUGAUUCCUCCCUCUUGAUGAGCCGUAAUGUCAUUAAUUUGGUGUUGCGGGGAAUCAGGACUGUUACUUUGAAAAAUUAGAGUGUUUAAAGCAGGCAAGCGCUUGAAUACAUUAGCAUGGAAUAAUGAAAUAGGACGUUUGAUCCUAUUUUGUUGGUUUCUAGGAUUGACGUAAUGAUUAAUAGGAAUAGUUGGGGGCAUUAGUAUUCAAUUGUCAGAGGUGAAAUUCUUGGAUUUAUUGAAGACUAACUACUGCGAAAGCAUUUGCCAAGGAUGUUUUCAUUAAUCAAGAACGAAAGUUAGGGGAUCGAAGACGAUCAGAUACCGUCGUAGU